UGAGCACAACUGUAGAAAGAUAGAACAAGAAACAAAACAGAGAUCGGUAAAAAAAGUGAAAAACUAAGUAUAAAUAUAAAUAUUAAAAAGGGCUUUCAUUCAUAAUCUUGUCCUUCACUUCGCCAUUGCAUCAAAACCAAAGGGUUGGUUUCAUUCGACCCCACCAUAGCUGUUCCAUACUCUCUGCCUUCAAAUCACAAAGGCUAAAAGAAAAUGAGCAAGGGACCAAGUUGGUCUGACCAAUGGGGGAAUGGAGGGUUUGGCAGUGACCACUAUGAGGAUGAGAAAGUGAAGAAGAGCAGUGGAAGCAACAAGAAGAUGGCUGCUGGUAUGGACAAGGCCAAAGCUGCAGCAAUUGUGGGUGCUGACAAGGCUAAAACUGCUGCUGUAGUGGGUGCCCAGAAGGUGAAGAGUGGAACUUCUGCUGGAAUCAAAUGGGUCAAGAAUCAGUACCAGAAAAGGACUUCCAAGUGAAGUUUCACUCACAGACAGUUUCAGUUCAUAGCUUUGGUAAAUAAUACAUGAUGAUCUAGUAAAGUGUUUUGCUUGUUUGCGUGCAAUUUCCAUUGCAACAAUCCAGAUUAACUUCUUAUUUUUAUUUUUCAUUUGUUUGUAGAAAAUUGCUGGGUGUUGAUCAUGUUAUUAGUUUACCUGAAAUCUUUCUGUGACUGCUCAUUCAACAGAUUUUACAGUUUUACACCAUUUGUUCCUA